rnacentral:lncRNA from 1 species
CUUUUUUUUUUUUUUUUUUUCCUGAGCCAUCAUUUCCAACAGAUUGUAUUAGUGUUGGGGGAGGCAUGUGGGGUUUUUGUUAAAAUUUUUUUUGAAGCACAAAGAGUAAGUCAGCAAUCUAAAUUUAACUUCUUGAACUAUGUGCAUUCUAGGCUUUAUUAUUUCAUUUUCUUUCUUUGUGUGUGUUUUCAACUAACUGAUAAAAAAGAUCAGUCACAGGCCUGUCAUUCGGAUGGGGUAAGGUGGUACCUUAAUAUUUGUCAUCAUUGCCUGACACACCCUGAGAAAAUAAACAGCAAAGAAAGCAGCUUUUCAUGUGUUAUCAGCCGUCCCAAACAUCUGGUUUCCCCCCAAAAUAAAUCACUCCAGGUCAAUGAGGCCUUAGUGAUGAUUUCAUAUAAUUCUCUCUAAAUAACAACAAAAACUCGAAUUAAGGAAAUGAAUAGAUCAAACAUAAUGUACCAUCAACUAAAGGUUUAAUUUUUGUAUUAUUUGCCAUUCGUCGUCCUGCUUUUGGUUAAGAAAGCUUUUAUUUUACAAAAGAAUUUAGCAAAGGAUCUGUAUUUAAUAGUCCUCCAGUGGUGUUACAAUAAUGAAAAGCGUUCUCAUAACUUAAAAAAAAAACAAACCAGCUUUAACCAGCCUAAGAUACAUUGAAGACAGUGUGACGAUUAAAAGUUCAGUGUAUUUGAUGGACAAAAAUGAGUGGAAAAUUUAUUAAUUUCUGGAUUUUUUAAACGGAGUAGUAUAAUCUCAUGUUACAAGAUUGAAAAGGCCCAAAAGGAUGUACAGAGAAAAGUCCUUUUUCAGUCCCCUGCUUCCCAGGGUCUCUUCCUAAGAAGUCACCAAAGGAGCCAGUUUCCAGGUGAGCCCCUAUAAUGCAGGGGGUUCAAUCACUGAGCAGGCCAUCCUAUGUACAACACCAGGUUUUUGCUUUUGUUUUUGUUUUUGUUUUGUCUUUUCUAGGGCCGCACCUGUGGCAUAUGGAGAGUCACAGGCUAGGGGUCCAAUCGGAGCUACAGCUGCCGGCCUACGCCAGAGCCACAGUAACACCAGAUCCGAGCCGCUGUCUUCGACCUACACCACAGCUCACAGCAACACCGGAUCCUUAACCCACUGAGCAAGGCCAGGGAUCAAACCCGCAAUCUCAUGGUUCCUAGUCGGAUUCGUUAACCACUGACCCACGAUGGGAACUCCAAUGUACAACACCAUUUUUUAGUGUUCCCCAAAGGCUCUUAGUCAUGUAAUUCAGGUUUUCCGCUUCUGGGUUUCUUCUCAUGUUUGAGAUGGUAAUUUCAGCAGGACCUAUUCAACCUAAAGUAGUAUCCUUUGGCCAAGAAAAGCUGAAAGCUCAAUUCUGCAUAAAGUAAUAAAUGCAUUAGCUUUGCUUCUGCCCUGCCUCCAAGAUUUAAAUUUGCAUGACAAGUUCAAAACCAAUAGAAUCUGCUAUGAUGCUCUAGGAAUCUGGACCAGGGACCCUGCCGAAGGAGGUUUCCGGGAGGUGAUGCGUUUGACUCUGGGAGCCAGCCAGCCCUUGUGCCCGAUUCCUUGUUCUCUGGGUUCUUCCACUGAGUCCCACCAUUCCAUAACGUGUUGUCGUUGCAUCAGUUUUGUUCCUUGGCUUAUAUCCCUCCCACGGCUUCCCCAAGGGCCCGGGCUAAGUUCUGUAGGACACAGAGUGGCCACGAUCAGUGGGCUCUGCAAGUACCACCCUCCUUGCCACCUGUGAACACACCAAGCAGCUUCCCACAGCAGGGGCCCGGUGUGUGCUAAUCCCCCUCCCAGAAUGCACUUCCCCUGCAUUUGCAUAAUCUCACAGGUUUCAACUCAGAAUGUGCAUCCCCGAGAGCCCUCCCCGGGCUACCCUUGCUAACAGUCCACUUUAGUCAUCCACCCACUCAAUCAUUUUCCACCCAAGGACUAGCUUCACGUGACCACAAACAUUGAGGCCUGGUAUCCUCAUUGGCUGGUACCAUCGUGUCAUUGAUUUUGUGAUUUAUUCAUUCUCAGGUUUAUGAUCCACAUUUCCCACUAUAGGCCGUCAGCUCCAGGUGUGUCUGUCUCAUUCCGAGUAAAAUCCCAGCAACUGACCACCUAGAAGUCACUCAACAAAUACUAUGAGUAAUUGAAACAUAUUGACAACCCUUCCUCUUUGUCAAACAUACAAAAACUAUCCUUGUGGUUGCCGAGGAGGGGGGCGGGGAGGGAGUGGGAUGGACUGAGAGUUUGGGGUUGGUAGAUGCAAACUAUUACAUUUAGAAGGAAUGAGCAGUGGGGUCUUGCUGUAUAGCACAGGGAACUAUAUCCAGUCGCUUGUGAUAGAACAUGGUAGAAGAUAAUAUGAAAAAAUGUAUAUACAGGUAUAACUGGGUCACUCUGCUGUACAGCAGAAAUUGACAGACAUUGUAAAUCAUCUAUGCUUUAAUUUAAAAUGUUUUUAUUUAUUAUUUAUUUAUCCUUGUCUUUUUCGGGCUGCACCUGUGGCAUAUGGAGGUUCCCAGGCCAGGGAUUGAGUCGGACCUAUAGCUGUUGGCGUACGCCACAGCAACGCCAGAUCCCCAACCCACUGAUCGAGGCCAGGGAUCAAACCCUCAUCCUCAUGGAUGCUAGUCAGAUUCAUUUCCAGUGAGCCACAGCGGGAACGCCAAAAAAUUAUUUUUAAAUGAUUCCACAUAAAACUGCACGGAAAAGUCAUAGACUCCUAGACACAGUUUUCGGGUUUGCCUCUUGUCACCUGUCUGACCUCAAGCAUUCCCUCAGAGCCUGAAUGUUUUCGUCUGCAGAAAGUGGGGAUCAGAACACGUAGUUGACAGGAUUGGAAGGAGAAUUAAACAGUAAAAUUGGAGUUUAAAAAAGACACCAUCUGGUGUUGGGCGCCCUGACCAUGUGACACGUUUCUCUUAAGAUGAAAGAAGGUUCCACUGAUCACUCUUUGAAAGAAUUGGGUUUAUUCAUUUCUCUUAUUAAUUAGUGUAUACUCAUAAGCUUCUACAAGGGAAAGGUUUGAGUCUGUCCACUCAACCCAGUGCUUGGAAGACCAUUUCUUUAGCAUUUCUAUCGUAGUGGUACCUCCCUGAUAGGGUUGUUUUGAAAAGAGAAAUAGACAGUACACAUCAAGUGCUUUGAAUGAUGUUCGGCCCAUUUUGCGGUCAGAUGCUCUACCACUGAGACAUGCCCCCUGUCUGGCACAUUUUGAUUUUGGAUGCUUUAACUGAAGUUCGGAGGGAAUUAAAAGGAUCUGUGUUUGACUGUUUUUUGAGUCUUUGCUUCCAUUUUAAUGGCCAGGAUAUAUGGUGUCAGAAGUUUAACAAGUGGCCACCAGUGCUUCAAAUCAUUAGAAUCUCUAUACAGU